GCUCACUUGUUCAGAUCCAAACCACCCUCCACGCUAACAUUCAGAAACAGGAAACAGAACUAAACAAACAACUCUCCACUUUAACCUCCUCCCGCCCUUUCUCCUGGUUAUCUCUGCUGAGGGAGGGGUUACUUCUCGCGAACGCCACCGGUCUGGGAAACCUCUCUGCAUGUUUCUUUUGUGCUACCCUAGGACAGCCACCCCUGACGGCCGUCCCGCUCCCAGCCCCCUUCAAUAAUUCCCUAACAACUUCCAGCCAAGGAUCCUCCCCCAUCUCAGAUGUUCCUUUGUUUUUAAACCCCGAACAAACACAGGUUUUAUUUUGCUAUUCAAACGCUAGCACCUCCCUUUGCAACAUAACCUCUCCUCCCAACUCCACUCUGUACGCCCCUCAUGGCUCAUUCUUCUCGUGUAAUGGAACUCUAUAUAAGAAUCUCGAGUUGGAGAGCGUAUCGCAGAGUGAGGAGGAAGCCGGGAAGGCGAUAUGGCUGCAAAUUGCACAUCCUCAUGGCGUCAGAGAGAACCCUGCAACAGACCUGGGUUGGAGCUGCCACGGUCUAUGGCAUCCUCAGAAACUGAACUUGGAAAUCACGACAUGGACCCUGAGAUUUCUCACAUGAACUUCAGGAUGUUCACCUGCCCGAAGGAGUCGGACCCCAUCCAGGCUCUGAGGAAACUCACUGAGCUGUGCCAUCUGUGGCUGAGGCCCGACCUCCACACCAAAGAGCAGAUCCUGGACAUGCUGGUGAUGGAGCAGUUCAUGAUCUCCAUGCCCCAGGAGCUCCAGGUCUUAGUCAUGAUGAACGGCGUGCAGAGCUGCAAAGACCUGGAGGACCUGCUGCGAAAUAACAGAAGACCCAAGAAAUGGUCUGUAGUCACCUUCCACGGAAAGGAAUAUAUUGUACAGGACUCAGAUGUUGAGACGGCUGACGCCCCAGCCAGCGUCAGGGAUGAUCCGAGAGACGUGUCCAGCCAGCGGGCCUCCUCUGUGAACCAGAUGCGUCCGGGGGAAGGCCAGGCCCGCCGAGAGCUGCAGACCCUGCCCAGGGUCCCUGCACUGUUCAGGAGGCAGGGAGAGGACUAUCUGCUACACAAGAGUAUUGACAUAAAAGGUGACCCAAAGUCUCCAGGACCCAAGCCGACCUUGGAGAAGGAUCUGAAGGAAAACAGGGAAGAGAACCCAGGACUUACAUCCCCAGAGCCUCAGCUUCCAAAGUGUCCCACAGAUCUGGUGAGAGCAAAGGAGGGGAAGGAACCCCCAAAAAGAGCCUCUGUGGAAAAUGUGGAUGCCGACACACCUUCUGCCUGCGUUGUGGAGAGAGAAGCUUCGACUCACAGCGGGAACAGAGGAGACGCUCCGAAUCUCAGAGGCCCCAAAAGAAGCAAACGGGACGCCUCCUCCAUUUCCCAAGAAGAACCUCAAGGAGAAGCCACACCUGUGGGCAACAGAGAAUCCCCAGGACAAGUUGGGAUGAAUUCAAUUCAUUCCCCAGGCCCUGCCAGCCCAGUCAGUCACCCUGAUGGCCAAGAAGCCAAGGCACUGCCGCCCUUUGCAUGUGACGUGUGCAAUAAGAGGUUUACGUGUAAUUCCAAGCUAGUCAUCCACAAGAGAUCACACACAGGAGAGAGACUGUUUCAAUGUAAUCUCUGUGGGAAGCGUUUCAUGCAGCUCAUUAGCCUCCAAUUUCACCAGCGAACCCACACCGGCGAGAGGCCCUACACGUGUGACGUCUGCCAGAAGCAGUUCACCCAGAAGUCCUACCUGAAGUGUCACAAGAGAAGCCACACAGGGGAGAAGCCCUUCGAAUGUAAAGACUGCAAGAAAGUUUUCACCUACAGGGGGAGCCUGAAGGAGCACCAGCGCACCCACUCGGGAGAGAAACCCUAUAAAUGUUCCAAGUGUCCAAGAGCCUUUGGUCGGCUGAAGUUGUUAAGACGCCACCAGAAAACACAUCCAGAAGCCACUUCUCAGUGAUGGCAUAAUCCGGUCUAUGCCUUCUGCACGAAGAAGAAGUGAGUGAUGAUUUUUCACUGAUGUUACCAGAUGACAUUUGACACGUGCAAGGGCGCCUGGCACACAGAGGGAGUGCCCUAGAUAUGAAUUGCCAUGAUGUUUGAGCAAAUAUGUAUCCUCCCCACUGAGCUUUGUUUUCUGUUUCAUUAUGUCCAUUGUUUCCUUAUAGGUUUAUUUUGGUUUGUGUUGCUGUUCUUUCAAUAAACGGUCAUCUUAUUA